ACAAAGAUAAACUAUCAUUAGGGUAAUGCUGUUGCUGGGAUACAUGUAGCACAGAAACAUGGAAUCCAGUUUCUGGUAUUAUCUCUUUAUCUAACUUUUGGUAUGGACCUGCUUAUAUCCUCUGAUUCUGAUUCCGUUUUUUGGUUCCAUAGUCGUUGUUUCUACUGAAAUUUCGUCAGGUCCUAUAUAGUACCAACCACGGGCUAUAGCAGGUCAGUAAACUGAUAGUUUAAUUUUGUCCCCCGAUCUUAUUACUAGAAAAUGCUCUAGUUAAUCUGAAAAUCAUUCAUACUAAUUAAUCAUCAAAUCUGUGAAACUUACCCUCAAUAUUGUGUUUUUCUUCUUUCUGCUUCGCUAUUAGAUUGGCCGGGUCGACAAAUAACUCAGUUGUUUCAGUAUCUCCAGAAUCAACAAAUGCCUUAGC
rnacentral:lncRNA from 1 species